rnacentral:rRNA from 1 species
GGCCAAUCUCGUGCCAGCAGCCGCGGUAAUACGAGAGGUGCAAGUUUAUAGCGUGAGGAGUAGGCAAGCAAGUGAAGACGUAAUAUAGUUAUGUAAGAUAUUAUUUAAGUUUAGUUUUAUUCCUAGUACAGCAGUUAAAUGCGUCAAGUUUAGGAGGACAGCCAUUGGCGAAAGCAACUUUACACACAUUCAACUUAAGUUUAAACUUGUAAGUCCAGGGAUCAAAUAGGAUUAGAUACCCUAGUAGUCUGGACCGUCAAUACAGUACAUUCAUAAAUAAAGUACUGCGCCUGGUGAUACGUACGCAAGUAUUGUAAUCAUAGAAAUAAUCCGUUAUGUGCAACUACUGUGGAACAUGAGGGUUAAUCGGAUAAUCCGCCAAUAACCUUA